GCAUAACAAAAUAAAAAAACGUAGAACAAAAAAAAGCAAGUCUCUUGUCAUUUGAACUUUGAGCAAAUGGAAGUCUCUUAGAUAGUGUUGGAGCAAAGGGAAGUCUCUUGCUAGGUGUUUGAGCAUAGAAGUCUCUUACUAGUGUUUGAGCAGAGGAAGUCUCUUGCUUGGUGUUUGAGCAAUUGUAAUCUUGGUGAUUAUAGUGAAAUCUCGUGGAAGUGCAAGAGGACUAGACUUCUCUCAAUUUGUGGGAGGAAUCAGUAUA
rnacentral:lncRNA from 1 species